GACGAACGCUGGCGGCGUGCCUAAUACAUGCAAGUCGAGCGGAUGAAUCGAAAGCUUGCUUUUGAUUCGUUAGCGGCGGACGGGUGAGUAACACGUGGGCAACCUGCCCUGUAGACGGGGAUAACACCGAGAAAUCGGUGCUAAUACCGGAUAACACGAAAUGUCGCAUGACGUUUCGUUGAAAGACGGCGCAAGCUGUCGCUACAGGAUGGGCCCGCGGCGCAUUAGCUAGUUGGUGAGGUAACGGCUCACCAAGGCGACGAUGCGUAGCCGACCUGAGAGGGUGAUCGGCCACACUGGGACUGAGACACGGCCCAGACUCCUACGGGAGGCAGCAGUAGGGAAUCUUCCGCAAUGGACGAAAGUCUGACGGAGCAACGCCGCGUGAGCGAAGAAGGCCUUCGGGUCGUAAAGCUCUGUUGUUAGGGAAGAACAAGUAACGCAGUAACUGGCGUUACCGUGACGGUACCUAACGAGAAAGCCACGGCUAACUACGUGCCAGCAGCCGCGGUAAUACGUAGGUGGCAAGCGUUGUCCGGAAUUAUUGGGCGUAAAGCGCGCGCAGGCGGUUCCUUAAGUCUGAUGUGAAAGCCCACGGCUCAACCGUGGAGGGUCAUUGGAAACUGGGGGACUUGAGUGCAGAAGAGGAGAGCGGAAUUCCACGUGUAGCGGUGAAAUGCGUAGAGAUGUGGAGGAACACCAGUGGCGAAGGCGGCUCUCUGGUCUGUAACUGACGCUGAGGCGCGAAAGCGUGGGGAGCAAACAGG
rnacentral:rRNA from 1 species